rnacentral:rRNA from 1 species
UACGUAGGGUGCAAGCGUUAUCCGGAAUCACUGGGCGUAAAGCGUACGUAGGCGGACGCUUAAGUGUGAUGUUAAAUCGUGUGGCUCAACCAUAUCGAUGCAUCGCAUACUGGGUUUCUAGAGAACGGCAGAGGCAAGUGGAACUCGUAGUGUAGCGGUAAAAUGCGUAGAUAUUACGAAGAACACCAAUGGCGAAGGCAGCUUGCUGGGCCAUUUCUGACGCUGAGGUACGAAAGCGUGGGGAGCGAACAGG